ensembl:lncRNA
GUCCAACUAUGUUUUGUUUAAAGCUGUUAUUAGCGUUUUAUAUAACUCCGAUCAAAUUCUUCACAGCAUAGAUGUACAGUAAUGUGCAAUAAUUACAUAUCUGACAUAGUAUUUUAGCCUUCAGGUUUCUUCUGAAGUCCAAGUUGUUUCUCUUUUUUAUUCCCCAGUAUUAUUUAUCUUGUUUAAUUUCUCAGUGUUGGGUUUACAGCUCUGUUACAAUUUUGCAUUCUUAUUUCAAGGUACCAGUUACUACAGUUAUCUCGAUGCCUCUGGCAUCACAGAGAAAAGCAGAAGAUGCUAUUUGUCAUUGCUGACUUGAAGCACCAGCCUUGGACGCCAAGAGAUUACAGUUUUAUUAAAGCUACAUAGUUUGCAUCAGGAUUUAAAUAGGUGGUGGUGGAGUAAGUCAGGUUUAUGUCCAUUUUAAGAGCUUUAGUGUUUUCUAUGUUUUUUGUUUAUUUGUUUUUGUUUUUAGUAUUGUGUUGUGUAUCAAAAUCUGAUACGUUUCCAUGCAUUCUCAAUCAUCUGGGUAAAAGGAUCAGAGAAAGUUGAUUCUGUUCAUCUGAACAUAGCAUUUUCAGUGGGAGAAACAUUUUGUCACCUAUCUGAAUGACCUGCUCCAUCUCAGGUGACUGAAGGUUCCCCGUUACAGUAUGACAGCACCAUUCUACAGACAUGGAGGCCAUGGAAGCAGAAGAACAUCAUAUCAAAAAUGCUCUUAUUAAAUGUGGUUAUCCCAGCUAAACAUUUGUCAAAGCUAGGAAGAGAUUUAAACAAUGCUCCAGGCAACCCAGAAGAUAAGGUGUCAUGGCCCACCAUCCUCUCUCUCUCUCUCGCUCUCUCUCUCUCAUUUGUAGGUGUUCUCUCUCCUUUUUUCUGUCUGUGUGUGCAUUUGGGCUGGUUUUGUGCAAGGGCAGGACUCAUCCUAAGUUCAUACCCUCAGUCUCCACAUACACCUUUGAUUUCACACCCGAUAUCAUGUUUGGCUGCCACUACUUAAGUGAAUGGCUGAUAUUCAGUCUUUACUGGGUUGUUGAACAACUAACAGUUACUGAAGCUCUGGCUCCCUUGCUUAUGAUUGCUCUGCCUGUAUCUUUGAGAAAACUUAC